AUACUGGUCUCAAGCUUACAGAAUUCGAAGACGGUGACAGGAAGGGACGAAGAAGAACGCAACAGAGAGAGAGAGAGAGAGAUGAAUCCACUAACCCUAGUGAAACGGAUACAGAACAUAAAUUCGAAAGAAGCGGCUUUAGGGAUCUCAGAUGAAGCAUCAUGGCAUGCCAAGUACAAAGACUCCGCUUAUGUCUUCGUCGGCGGUAUUCCCUUCGAUCUCACCGAAGGCGAUCUUCUUGCCGUCUUCGCUCAAUACGGAGAAGUUGUGGACGUUAAUCUUGUUAGAGACAAAGGGACUGGUAAAUCCAAAGGUUUUGCUUUCGUUGCUUAUGAGGAUCAGCGAAGUACGAAUCUUGCUGUAGGUUUGUGUCUCUUGCUUUUCCCUUCCUUGUAUAACUUGAAUGGAGCUCAGAUAUUAGGCAGAAUUAUUAGAGUUGAUCAUGUCAGCAAGUACAAGAAGAAAGAAGAAGAAGACGAAGAAACGGAGCAGAGGAAGAGGGAGGAACGGGGUGUGUGCCGUGCUUUUCAGAGAGGAGAAUGUACUCGUGGAGCUGGAUGCAAAUUUUCUCAUAAUGAGCAAAGAGCUGCAAACACAGGAUGGGGCCAUGAUGACAAAGAACCAAGGUGGGGACAUGACAAAUUUGACGGUCCAAAAAUGGGUGAUAGAAGAUCUGGCAACUUACCAUCAAAUAAUGUUCCAGAGCAUCCAGCAAAAGGAGGUUUUAGCAUUGGUAAUAAAGAUUCAAGCUUUAAAGCAAGGGGCAAUGGAGCAUUGGAAAGCCAAUCCAAGCAGAUUGAUACGAGAGAUGAAAAGAGAUUAGGAAGUUAUGGCAACACUGAUGACUUUGAUCGGAGGAGUAGAGAUCAUGAUACAAGGGAAGGAAAAAGAUCUAGGAGGCACAUUGAUGAUGAAUUUCAGCCAAAAUCCAGAGAAGAUCAUGAUAGGAGAGAUGAGAAAAGAUUGAGAAGGCAUGGUGCUGAUGAUGAACAUGUGGAGAAGUCAAGAGAAGAUAUUGAUAGGAGGGAAGAAAUGAAACCAAGAAGGCAUGAUGAUUACGAGUAUCAACCUAAGUCAAGAGAAGAUCACUAUAAGAGAGAAGAAAAGAGAUCAAGAAGGCACAAUGAUGAUGACUUCCAGCCAAAUUUGAGAGGAGAACAGGAUAAGAGAGAAGGACAGAAUUCUAGAAUGCGUGAUUAUGAUCAAAUUGAGCCAAAGUCUAGAGAUUUGAAAUCAAGAGAGGUUAAUUAUAGGAGGGAAGAAAAGAGAUCAGGCAGGUAUGAUGAUGAUAAAUAUGAGUCAAAGUCUCGGAAAGAUUAUGAAAGAAGUGAGGAUAGGAGAUCAAGAAUCCCAAAAGCAUGAAUUAGGAUCCUAUCUCGGAGAAAACUAAACAGAGUGGGAUAAAUUGCUAACCGUGGUAGGAUGUCCUCUACCCAUAAUCAAAUGGGAGAGUGAUCGCUGGCAUAAUUGGACGGGCAAGGAUUUUAAAGGAUUCAGAUUGAUACGCUUAACUAGUUUGUCAUGACUUGUAAUCUGUUUAUAUAACAAAGCUCUCCCAAAUUAGUUUGAUAUGAAGCUCUCAAAAAAGUCAACAUUUGGUCAACCAGUGCAGAGAAAGCUGGGAAUUGCAAAAUCUUAAUGAGUUCAACACAAGUCGUUUUG